AUUGAACGCUGGCGGCAGGCCUAACACAUGCAAGUCGAGCGAGCGGCGGACGGGUGAGUAAUGUAUGGGGACUGCCCGAUAGAGGGGGAUAACUACUGGAAACGGUAGCUAAUACCGCAUACUAUCGGAUAACCCAUAUGGGAUUAGCUAGUAGGUGUGGUAAUGGCUCACCUCGGCGACGAUCCCUAGCUGGUCUGAGAGGUUGAUCAGCCACAGUGGGACUAGGACACGGCCCAGACUCCUACGGGGGCAGCAGAGGGAAGUAUUGCACAAUGGGCGCAAGCCGGAUGCAGCCAUGCGGCGUGUAUGAAGAAGGCCCUAGGGUUGUAAAGUACUUUCAGUCGGGAGGCGUUACCGACAGAAGAAGCGCCGGCUAACUCCGUGCCAGCAGCCGCGGUAAUAC
rnacentral:rRNA from 1 species